rnacentral:rRNA from 1 species
AUUGAACGCUGGCGGCAUGCCUCACACAUGCAAGUCGAACGGCAGCGGGGACUUCGGUCCGCCGGCGAGUGGCGAACGGGUGAGUAAUGUAUCGGAACGUACCAUUGAGUGGGGGAUAACGUAGCGAAAGUUACGCUAAUACCGCAUAUUCUCUCCGGAGGAAAGCAGGGGACCGCAAGGCCUUGCGCUCUUUGAGCGGCCGAUAUCAGAUUAGCUAGUUGGUGAGGUAAAAGCUCACCAAGGCGACGAUCUGUAGCGGGUCUGAGAGGAUGAUCCGCCACACUGGAACUGAGACACGGUCCAGACUCCUACGGGAGGCAGCAGUGGGGAAUUUUGGAUAAUGGGGGCAACCCUGAUCCAGCCAUGCCGCGUGAGUGAAGAAGGCCUUCGGGUUGUAAAGCUCUUUCGGCCGGGAAAAAAUCGCAUGGGUUAAUACCCUGUGUGGAUGAUGGUACCGGAAUAAGAAGCACCGGCUAACUACGUGCCAGCCGCCGCGGUAAGAC